rnacentral:rRNA from 1 species
AUCGAACGCUGUGCGGCCGGCUUCAUCACGAUCGUCGAUCGAUGACGUCUCGCUUGCUUGACGGAUUAGUGGCGAACGGGUGAGUGACGCUGAUGAAUCUGCCUAUUAGUGGGGGAUAUCGUAAGGUAGCUUACGCUUGUACCGCAUACGACCUACGGGUGAGAGGCCGCUUUUAGCUCGCGCUGAUAGAUUAACCUACGUCCCAUUCUCUGGUUGGUGGGGUAGAGGCCUACCACUGCGACUAUCUGUAUCUGGUCUGAGAGGAUGAUCGGCCGCGCUUGGGCUGAUACUCGGACCAGACUCCUACUCUAGGCACCAGUGGGGAAUAUUGUACGAUGGGCGGUGGCCUGAUCCAGCCAUGCCGCGUGUGUGAAGGACGCCUUAUGGUUGUAAAGCACUUUCCGGGUGGAGGAAUUGCUUAUGGUUAAUACCCAUAAACCCUGACGGUACCCUCAGAAUGAGCACCGGCUUUCUCUGUUCCUGCAGCCGUGCUAAUGCAGAGGGUGCAAGCGUUAAUCUGAUUUACUGGGCCUAAAAGCGCCCCAAAGGUGGUCGUCUAAGUCUUAUGUGAGAUCCCCGGGGUUAUGCUGUGAACUGCUGCUGAUUCUGGAUCGCUCCACUAGGUGAGAUAGGAGUAGAAUUCCAUUUGUCGAGAUGAAUUGCGUCAAGAUCUGGAGGACUACCGAUGGCGAAGGCAGCUCACAGGCAUCAUACUGUCACUGAGGUGCGAAAGCGUGGGUAGCAAACAGGAUUCGAUACCCUGGUAGUACACGCCGUAACCGAUGUCUACCAGUCGUUGGGUCUUUUAAAGACUUAGUGCAGCUGUUAACGCAAUAAGUAGACCGCUAGUGGAGUACGGCCGCAAGGUUAAAACUCAAAUGAAUUGACGGGGGCCCGCACAAGCGGUGGAGCAUGUGGUAUAAUUUGAUGCAACGUGAAGAACCUUACCUGGUCUUGACAUAGUGAGACUCUUGCAGAGAUGCGAGAGUGCCUUCGGGAACUCACAUACAGGUGCAGCAUGGCUGUCGUCAGCUCGUAUUGUGAGAUGUGGGGUUAAGUCCCGCAGCGAGCGCAACCCUUUACCUCUAGUUACCAGUGACUCGGUCGGGAACUGUAAGGAUACUGCCAGUCCCAAACUGGACGAAGGCGGGGACGACGUCAAGUCAUCAUGUCCCUUACGACCAGGCUUACACACGUGCUACAUUGGUUGGUACAAAGGGUUGUUACACAGCGAUGCGAUGUUAAUUUCAAAAAGCUCAAUCGUAGUCCUGAUCGGAGUCUGCAACUCGCCUCCACGAAGUCGGACUCGCUAGUAAUAGCAGAUCAGAAUAAUGCGGCGAAUAAGUUGGGGGUCUU